rnacentral:lncRNA from 1 species
AGGGGCAGAGCAGACUUGAUUCAUGAACAGAAGCAGUUUCAUUCGAGAGGGACAGAGGAAGGCAGGAGCUGCAGUGACCACAGAAACAGAGGUAAUUUGGGCCCAGUCUCUCCCCGCAGAUGCCUUAGCUCCUAGGGCUGAACUGAUGCUAUCCCAGGCCCUCAUCAUGGGAAAAAGGCUAGCCAUCAACAUCUACACCGAUAGCCGGUAUGCGUUGGCCCAUAUACAUGAAGCCAUAUACCAGGAGAGAGGGAUCCUAACUGCAGAAGGAAAAACUAUCAAAAACAAAGAUGGGAUCCUACAGUUCCUUGAAGCCCUCUGGCUGCCAAUGAGAAUGGCAAUCAUACAUUGUCCAGGCCAUCAAAAAGGAACCACGGCAGUCACCAGAGGAAUGCCCAGCCUACACGGAGGAGGAGGUCAAAUGAGCCAAGAGUCAGCCCAUGAACCAGUGUUCAGAGGGCUGGUGGCAGAUGGCUGAAGGUUUCCAGCAGCAGCAAUCUCAGCCCCUCCACAUAAGCUGGGCAUCCUUAGAACCACAACAACAGGAACAAUGGCAACCAAAGCUCAGAGCACAGAGCCAAGAAAUAGCAGAGACAGUAAACACAACCCACUCUCUGCAGCUCCAACAGAGCCUGCCCUUUCAUUGUCUCCAGUCGGACCUUUAACCACCAGGAUCCUCAAGGUGCAUCAGAAUUUUCUGAUGUUUGCGUCUUAUCUAUAGAUUCUUAGUGUGUCAAAAGCCUUCUACCUGUUCUUGGUUGGAUCUUCCACUUAUGCACUUACGUUGCCUAUUUCAUAACAAGGACUGAGAGAAUAUGUUAUCUCUGCAUGUUAAAUUCCAUUUUAAAGUUAUUUGAGUGCAUGGAAUGUGUGGUGUCUAAAGAUUGUCAAACAAGCUUGACUGUUAGUCAACUUCUGUUCUAAAUUUCUAGUUUGAGAGGAGCAGCUAGACUACUAAGGCACCAGUAGGUGCCCAGUGCUUCCUGUUCAUCUGUAGAUAGACUAGAGCUGACUCAGGGUACUUCUGCCUUGAAAAUGGACCAUCAUGUUUUCUUUUUUAUAGUAUGGGCUAACAUGAGACCCUGUCUCAGCAUGCAUAAGGUUCACAGAUGUCUUCUAACUAGUUCCUGAAUGAAAGAUGGCUGUUCAAGAUUUUGCUGAAAGGACCCUGAUAUAGCUAUCUCCUGUGAGGCUUUGCCAGUGCCUGGCAAAUACAGAAGUGGAUGCUCACAGUCACCUAUAGGAUGGAACACAGGGCCCCCAAUGUAGGAGCUAGAGAAAGUACCCAAGAGCUGAAGGGGUCUGCAACCCUAUAGGUGGAACAACAAUAUGAACUAAUCAGUACCCCGAGAGCUCGUGUCUCUAGCUGCAUAUAUAGCAGAAGAUGGCCUAGUCGGCCAUCAUUGGGAAGAGAGGCCCCUUGAUCUAGCAAACUUUAUAUGCCCCAGUACAGGGGAACGUCAGGGCCAAGAAGUGGGAGUGAGUAGGUAGGGGAGCAGGGCAGGGGGUGGGGGUGGUAAUAGGGAAAUUUUGGGAUAGCAUUUGAAAUGUAAAUGAAGAAAAUAUCUAAUUAAAAAAUUUUAAAAAAAGAAA